GGAAUCCUAGAGCAGACAGAACAGGGAGGUGGGGCGGAGGUUCCUGCAGAGCCCUCUGGAGCCGCAGGGGCUUCACGGCAUGACCAGAAGCAGGAGAGGAGGCUGACCCACUUGUUCCCAUCAGCUCCUGAAGGUGACACUGAGCCCUGGGUGGCCCCUCACUGCCAAAGCAGUCACCUGUAUUUGUCAGAUAAAGACAGCCAGCCCGGCUGCCCUUUACCUCCAAGUCAGAGAUCCAGAGAGCCAUGGGCAAAUCUCCAGAGAUGUGGUAAGUGUUCAGGUAAUGACAGAAAUGUGCACAAACUCCAUCUCCC
rnacentral:lncRNA from 1 species